rnacentral:rRNA from 1 species
GACGAACGCUGGCGGCGUGCUUAACACAUGCAAGUCGAGCGGAGCGGCGAACGGGUGAGUAACGCGUGAGUAACUGCCCCCCUCCAUGGGAUAACAGUUGGAAACGGCUGCUUAUACCGGAUAGUGGGGGAUGACUCGCGUCCUAUCGGCUUGUUGGUGGGGUGGUGGCCUACCAAGGCGACGACGGGUAGCCGGCCUGAGAGGGCGACCGGCCAAAAUGGGCUGAGAUACGGCCCAAACUCCAACGGGGGGCAGCAGGGGGGAGUAUUGCACAAUGGGGGAAACCCUAAUGCAGCAACGCCGCGUGCGGAAUGACGGCCUUCGGGUUGUAAACCGGUUUCGGCCAUGACGCGGUAGUGGCAGAAGAAGCACCGGCUAACUACGUGCCAGCAGCCGCGGUAAUAC